GGGGCACCCCGAGGACUCCAGCGCGCACCGAAAGGAUUAUUCGGGGAGAUCCUCAGGGUGCCCGGCCCUGGGGAGCUCAAAGCAAGGUCCCUGCAAUGGAUUCAGGCAUUCCUGAGAGUAUCCCAGGGGUCCCUGUCCCUGCUAGACAUGGAGCUCUCUAAUGGACUGUAAUUGGGUUCUAAAAGUGGUGCUCCAAGUGCCAAAGCAGUGUGGGAUUGGGAUUAAGAAAUGAGCAGUGAUGGUGCAAUUGGCUGUUUUGUCUUGAAUGUAAUGGUAAGAGCUGCAGGAGUGCCAGGUGUGUGUUCCAGUCCCCAGCAUUUGGUUUGCACAUGUCCUGGUCAGACACAGGUCCAACUUCCUCAGUCCUUAACCCAACAGAGAGGGAAUGAAGGACUGGCAGUGUUAAGGUGACUGGUGUGACAGGGGUUAAACUGGGAAAACAUUGGGGAAUUCCUGAGUUUGUCUCUUUGCCCAACUCACCCAAACCUGUGCUAGGAAGAGACUUCCUGAAAAACUUGAGGCAGAAAUGAAAUGGAAAACUGGGGAUAAUGAAACUGUAAUUGCUGAAACUAAAUGUGUCCAAGCAGCAGCUCUUGUUGUGCAGGGAAUAACUCCUGUCAGCAGCAAGGUCCUGACUGAAGUGGCAGCUGCAGUUGUUCCUGUGGUGUGGGCCAGUGGAAUUGCAGGAGAGUGGAAGAGGGCAGAACCUGACGUGAAUGCAAGAACCUGCCAAGGAACCAAUGGCCAAGGUGUCUGAUUAGUGCAGGACCUGAGAGAACCCCCUUGAAUGACAACCUCGAGCAGUUUCCCGUAUUGGAUUAAAAAGAUGGCCUUUGCUGCAUCUCCUUGAGCAAGGAAAGCCAAGAAACCUUUGCUUUGGAAGGAGAAAAUCUGGAAAGCAGGAAGGAAGAAAAGCAGCCCCCUGACUCCUCCCUGAGCCCCAGACAGCCCAUGAACUGCCUUCUGGGAAUGGUAGGACAGGCUGGACUCUGGAUUGCUCCCUCUGGAUGUGUGGAACUCCAGGAACUCCUGGUGCCGCCUGGGCCGAUGGAUUGGACGCCCCAGCCCCUCCGUUCCUGCCCAGCCCCUGGGUCCGUGUCCAGUGGUGGCACUGCCAGCCCUGCAGGUGAAGUGGGAAGGGCCUUUCCAGGUCUUGUGGGUCACAUUGAUAGCAGCUGAAGUUGCAGAAAAAGGACCUGGGGUCUGUUGUUCUUUAGUUCAGAAAGCUCCUUUUGGUUGGUGAGCAGGACAAAGUGGAUCCUUCAGAGUUCCCAUCCGUGUUUGUGUCUCAGCCUGUGUUAGGAUUCAGGGCUGUAGCUGUUGUUGUCACUGAGGAGUCAAACUCUGCUUUAAAUCAUGAGACACUGGCCUGAUGGCCCAGUGUCAGGAAAAAAGGGGGAAUGCUCUCUGAGUGUUGAGAUGUAACAAGAGCUGAUCCUUUUUGCAGUUGGAUGUAGCCUGGAAAGUGCACAGAACUGAGCUAAGGGAUUGAAAGGGACCAACCAAGGGAGGUGAAGAAAGAAGGAAGAAGGGAAGUGAGGCAGCAGCCAAGCAGUAGCAAGUUGCUGUGUAAGCAGGUGAGUUGUGUUGAGGUUCCUAAGGCAGGCACUGAGGACUUUGAGGGCUCCAGACAGAGCAGACCUGGGAAGGCCCUCGGU